rnacentral:rRNA from 1 species
GCGAACGGGUGAGUAAUGCAUCGGAACGUACCCAGUCGUGGGGGAUAACGUAGCGAAAGUUACGCUAAUACCGCAUACGACCUGAGGGUGAAAGCGGGGGACCGAAAGGCCUCGCGCGAUUGGAGCGGCCGAUGUCUGAUUAGCUAGUUGGUGGGGUAAAGGCCCACCAAGGCGACGAUCAGUAGCGGGUCUGAGAGGAUGAUCCGCCACACUGGGACUGAGACACGGCCCAGACUCCUACGGGAGGCAGCAGUGGGGAAUUUUGGACAAUGGGGGCAACCCUGAUCCAGCCAUGCCGCGUGCAGGAAGAAGGCCUUCGGGUUGUAAACUGCUUUCGGACAGAAAGAAAUCGCCAUUUUUAAUAAGGAUGGUGGAUGACGGUACUGUAAGAAGAAGCACCGGCUAACUACGUGCCAGCAGCCGCGGUAAUACGUAGGGUGCGAGCGUUAAUCGGAAUUACUGGGCGUAAAGCGUGCGCAGGCGGAUGUUUAAGUCAGAUGUGAAAUCCCCGAGCUUAACUUGGGAAUUGCAUUUGAAACUGGACGUCUAGAGUGCGUCAGAGGGGGGUGGAAUUCCACGUGUAGCAGUGAAAUGCGUAGAGAUGUGGAGGAACACCGAUGGCGAAGGCAGCCCCCUGAGAUGACACUGACGCUCAUGCACGAAAGCGUGGAGAGCAAACAGGAUUAGAUACCCUGGUAGUCGACGCCCUUAACGAUGGAUACUAGAUGUAGGGGCAUCGACCCCCCACUGUGCAGAGUAAGCACGAUAGGAUCCCACCUUGGGAGUACGCCGCAGGGUUG